ensembl:lncRNA novel transcript, antisense to PAPLN
CAGAUUCCUACUUAAGGAAGAGAGGGGCUCCUCAUUGUCACUGUACAGAGCAGGCUGGUCAGCUUUACACAGGUGUCAGAUGAACCGUCACAGCCAGAUUUGCAUGUUGGCCUCAGGAGGGCUUCAAGGUCCAACAUCUCGACAUUGCUCUUCUUGAAAACAGCAGCCUGUGGUUAUGUCAGAGAUGCAAACACUGCUGAAGGCUACAGAGAGAAGCUGGUAACUGGCUGCCGUUGAGGCUAAACACUGGCCCUAUGAACUAUUUUGGACUGGGGCUGGAACUAGCCUUCAUCCCUACUGCCAGAUGGGCUGAGCGUGAGGCUGGAAACGUGAACAGCUGGCACAGCAGAAGCUGGAGUAAUACUCAUUGCCACAAAGCUGGGCCUGCAGGAUCAAAUCACAGUUGGCCAGCUCUGGCUGGUCGACGCAGUCCCUGCCAGGGUCCCUGGGCUGGGCGGUGGGUGCUGCAGAACGACAGGGGAGAGAGAAGGUGGUGAGGAAGCUCUGUGUAUGCUGAAAAUUCUCACCUGCCAUUUCAUUUCCUUCAAAGGAACACAGCAUUAUAACUGCCAGAUUGAAAACGAAGUGCACUUACCCUGUAACCUUUUAACCAUACGUACAAACUCUAUGAGGGAUGAUGAUUUCUACCUGUUUCUUGGCCUCACUUCAACAUGCAGUGGUCCUCCCAUUAUUAUUUGUGGCCUCAGCCCACUGAAUAGCUCUUCCUAGACUCCCAAAUAUUUAUUGACUGGAUAAUUAAACAUCUCUUGAAGUUAA